rnacentral:rRNA from 1 species
UAGCCGAACUGAGAGGUUGAUCGGCCACAUUGGGACUGAGACACGGCCCAAACUCCUACGGGAGGCAGCAGUAGGGAAUCUUCCACAAUGGACGCAAGUCUGAUGGAGCAACGCCGCGUGAGUGAAGAAGGCUUUCGGGUCGUAAAACUCUGUUGUUGGAGAAGAAUGGUCGGCAGAGUAACUGUUGUCGGCGUGACGGUAUCCAACCAGAAAGCCACGGCUAACUACGUGCCAGCAGCCGCGGUAAUACGUAGGUGGCAAGCGUUAUCCGGAUUUAUUGGGCGUAAAGCGAGCGCAGGCGGUUUUUUAAGUCUGAUGUGAAAGCCCUCGGCUUAACCGAGGAAGCGCAUCGGAAACUGGGAAACUUGAGUGCAGAAGAGGACAGUGGAACUCCAUGUGUAGCGGUGAAAUGCGUAGAUAUAUGGAAGAACACCAGUGGCGAAGGCGGCUGUCUGGUCUGUAACUGACGCUGAGGCUCGAAAGCAUGGGUAGCGAAACAGGAUUAGAUACCC